rnacentral:rRNA from 1 species
UGGUCAAGUUAUUAAGGGUGCAGGGCGGAUGCCUUGGCACUAGGAGCCGAUGAAGGACGUGAUAAGCUGCGAUAAGCUUCGGGGAGUUGCACGUAAACUUUGAUCCGAAGAUUUCCGAAUGAGGAAACUCACUUAGAGUAAUGUCUAAGUAUCAUUAAGUGAAUACAUAGCUUAAUGAGGGGAACUCAGGGAACUGAAACAUCUAAGUACCUGAAGGAAGAGAAAGAAAUUCGAUUCCGUAAGUAGCGGCGAGCGAACGCGGAUUAGCCCAAACCAAUAAAGUUUUCUUUAUUGGGGUUGCGGACAUAUCAUAACGAAGAGGUAUCGUAAUUGAAGAGGUUUGGAAAGACCCACCACAGAAGGUAAUAGUCCUGUAUGUUAAACGAGAAGACUUUAGAUAUGAUCCAGAGUACCACGGGACACGUGAAACCCUGUGGGAAGCAGGAGGGACCACCCUCCAAGGCUAAAUACUACCUAGUGACCGAUAGCGUAUAGUACCGUGAGGGAAAGGUGAAAAGAACCCCGGGAGGGGAGUGAAAUAGAACCUGAAACCCUGCACUUACAAGCUGUGGAAGCACAUUUCUUGUGUGACCGCGUACUUUUUGUAGAACGGGCCAACGAGUUACGUUAAGUAGCAAGGUUAAGCACUUAAGGUGCGGAGCCGUAGCGAAAGCGAGUUUUAACUGAGCGUUCAGUUACUUGACGUAGACCCGAAACCGGGCGACCUACCCAUGAGCAGGAUGAAGCGAAAGUAAAAUUUCGUGGAGGUCCGAACCCACGAGCG